rnacentral:lncRNA from 1 species
UCUCUGGUGUCGCAGACACUAAAGCAGUCGGUCAUGUUUUUCUGUGUUCUGAUCAACGCUGAAUAAACUUGUAAAUAAUGCUCUCCUGGGUGCAACUUUUGCUGUGACUAUCUGCUGAUAGAGUGUGCAUGAGCUCUGGAAUGUGGCAAGAAAUCUUCUAGAAACUCAUGUCGCUAAUUGUUGAUACUGCGUGACUACGGGAGGUCGAUGGAUCGUCCGGCAGACGGCUUGGGGGCCUUGAUGGACUUUAUCUCCCUGGCAGUAUCCCAACAACAGGUAUCGGGCCCAGAUUCACAGCACUUACAGGAGAGUAAGACUGCGACAGACUGCUGAAAGGUAUGUGGAAGAAAAGCGAAAGUGAGGCUUUUCUGUUUGCCGAGGCAAGGGCCUUUGAACUCCGGCAGAUUAAUGGAUCUGGGAGCCGCGCCAAAGGCCUCAAGAUUUAUGAGCUGCUAAGAUAAGACGUCUCUGAAGUGAAUAAGAUUCACGGCUCAAGUAGAAACCUGGAAUGGAGUUUUUCCAGGCUUCUGAGGCUGCUGAGUGCCCAAAGUUAAAUCGGCACAACUAUCAGACCUGGGCAAAAUGGUGUGAGAGUUUGCUGCGUCAGUUUGGAGUGUGGCAUACUGUGUGUGAAGCCCCUCCAGUUCCUCUGACAGAUAGAUGGAGGGCCGCGAAUUCGAAGGCGAUAGACGUAAUCGUCUUGUCCGUCUCUCUGGAGGAAAUAAAAACGCUAGCUGGCAAUCUGACUGCACGAAAGAUGUGGCAUGCUUUGAAGAUAGCCCAUCUGCCAGUCAUCCCAGCCCAGAGUUUGACUGCAUCGGAGGUCCUGGCUGUUUCCCAGAAUGCGAGUGAAUGCAGGGAUGCUGAGGGCACCGGUUGCAAGCUGCAGGGGGAGCUGACUGUCACGUCAUCCCAGGCAGCAUUCCAGCCUCCAGGGGAGCCAAGGAGUCGGCAGCUGAGAGCUCUGUUUCUCAUGGGAGCCAAGGUCAUCGCCUUUGCAGAGGCCAGAAGGGCAAAGGUAAACAGAGGCAGACGCCUGCAGAUGGCCAGGAGCAGGGGGGCAAGCUGCAAAAGCCCACGCCAGUAGAAAACAAGGUUUUGUUUACUGGCACAGCCUCACCAAAGGCUAAAGGCAAGUCUGAUGGCCAGGAGCAGGGGGGCAAGCUGCAAAAGCCCACGCCAGUGGAAAACAAGGUUUUGUUUGCUGGCACAGCCUCACCAAAGGCUAAAGGCAAGUCUGAUGGCCAGGAGCAGGGGGGCAAGCUGCAAAAGCCCACGCCGGUGGAAAACAAGGUUUUGCUUGCUGCAAAGACUGCUCCAAAGGUCAUGGCCAGGUUUGUUGUUGAUUCAGGCUGUACCCGCCAUGUCUCAAAAGACCGCCACCUAUUUAUCUCCUUCAAACCUCAAGAAGGUGAGAUCCACCUGGCUGACGGAAAGACGUUGCGAAUCGCAGGAGAAGGGACUGUGAAACUGGCAAGUCUGCACACUACCAUCAAAGAUGUACUAUAUGUUCCAGGCGCUGCAGACAAUUUGCUCAGUGUCCCACAGCUGACUGGGCGUGGUUUUGAGAUUUCCUUCAAGAGGAGCGUCUGUGUCAUCAGAAAAGGCAAAGAGGACAUUUUGCAUGCAAAGUUUAUGGAUGGCUUGUUCUGUAUAACUUAUGAUGACAUUGGUGCUGUUGUGUCUAAUGCUGAUUCUUGUUGUGUUGCACAAACUAACAAAGUUCUUCAUGCAGGAUGCAUUCAUGAUGCACACAGAAGAUUUUGUCACAUGUCUUGGCAGGCGCUGGCCAAGAUGCCAGAGAUGGUUGAGGGUUUGAACAUCAAACCCUGUAAGUUUCACAUGAAAUGUGUAUCUUGUGCAGAGAACAAGGUGAAGGUUGCUCCAAAAGGCAAGGAGUCUAGCAGGCAGGCUUCCAAACCCUACCAGCUAGUGCACGCAGACCUGGUUGGUCCACUUGCGCCCUCUUUGGGUGGAGCAAGGUACUUCAUGGUUCUAAUUGAUUCUUUUUCCAGGUACAUUCAUGUGUUUAUGCUCGAGCAGAAAUCGCAAGCGUUUCCUAAGUUCAAGGCAUUCUGUGCUUGGUUGGAGAAUGUUCAUGGUAAACGCAUUGGCUGUCUGUUUACUGAUCGAGGCGGGAGUUCACUUCUCAGCAGUUUGAAGCUUUCCUGACUGAGAAGGGAAUCCAGCAUAGCCUCUCAAGUCCUGGAUCUCCAUGGGAGAUUUGUGAGCAAGCAAAGCAAACGUUGCUGCAAGGACUGAAAACAUUGUUGCAUGAUGCCAAUCUCCUGAGAAGUUUUGGGGGGAGUCUUUGAACUCGUUUGUUUACACUUUUAAUCGCAGGUUGUCAUCACCUAUUGGUUGUACUCCCUAUGAGAAGAUGUUUGGUAAGAAACCCAACAUCAAGCACAUGAGAAUCUUUGGUUCUGACAUGUGGGUACACACCCCACAGAGCAACAAGCUUGGGAAGCGUGGGGCACAUGGUUUGUUCAUGGGGUACGAAAAGGUGCAUACAGGGUAUGGAUGACCAACUCUAAGUCCAUUAAGUUCACAAAGAGUGUUGAGUACAAUCCUAAGUGGGGGGAAAAUGUGGGAAUUUUCCAGAGUUACCCAGAGGAGGAUGAAGGUGAUGUCAAAGAAGCAGCUAAAGCUGAGGAAGCUGCUGAGGAUGAUGAUGAUGAUGAUGAUCAGAGUUCGGAUUCCAGUUCAGUGGGCGGCGCUGCUGCUGGUGUCAGUGACAGUGAUGACACAGCAGACUACAAGAGCGCAAAGGCCUCAGUCAGACCAUCUGAUGCGUCUGACAAUGAACUGGAAGAACCACUGUUCACCAUUGGUCACUUUUCUCCUAAGAAAGAGGAGAUGAGUCCAGAAGACUUGCGUCUAGUACGCAGAUCUGAGAGAGCCACGAAGGGCAGACCUCCAAAGAGAUUUGCUGAUGAGUUUGCUAAGACAGCAACUGCUGUUCUUAGUAGCUCAGAGAAGGUGUGGGAACCUUCAAGCUUCAAAGAGGUUCAGGAGUUAACCUCUAAAGAUGCUGAGCCUUGGCUUAAUGCCAUGAAGGCUGAAGUUGAUUCCUUGAAUAGGAACCAAACUUGGGAGUUGGUACCGGUAGUCCCAGGAAUGAGACUGGUUGGCAGCAAAUGGGUCUUCAAGGCCAAGACAGACCAGAAUGGCAAGGUUGUCAGACACAAAGCCAGAUUGGUUGCCAGAGGUUUUUCACAGGUACCAGGACAGGAUUACCACGAGACCUACUCACCCACCGUCAAAUAUGAGAGCAUUCGGCUGAUGCUCAAGAUAGCUGCAGAGGAGAAACUGCAUGUUUCCCAUCAUGACAUUAAUACAGCUUUUUUGUACGGGAUUCUGGGGAGGAGCUGUUUAUGCUUCCACCUGAUGGGAUGCAGAUACAGAAGGGAAUGGUCUGUAAACUGCGGAAAUCCUUAUAUGGUCUCAAGCAGAGUGCCAGGUGUUGGAACACGAAACUCACUGAGACGUUGCUUUCUCUAGGUUUUCACCAGGGCAAAGCUGAUCCAUGUGUGUUUGUCAAGGAGGAGGGGCAAAACAAACUGUAUUGUUUAUGUUUUGUUGAUGAUCUUCUGAUGUUUUGGAAGAAUCAGGCUUUCUACCAAAGCACCCUAGCUCAGCUGAAGGAGCACUUUGACAUGAAGGAUCUUGGUGAGGUAUCCAACUAUCUUUCUCUGCAGGUGGAGAGGGACCAAGCAGGUAAUUUUCUGGUACACCAAACACAGAAAAUUGCUGAUGUAUUAACCAGGUUGAAUUUGGUUGAUGCAAACCCAGCAGACACACCGAUGGUGACAGGUUACCAGGUAGACAGUACUGCUGAAGCGUUUUCUGACACAACGCUGUACAGAUGCAUUCUAGGCAAGUUGAAUUUCAUUGCUAGAUGCUCAAGACCUGACAUAGCUGUAAGCACUAACCUGCUUAGCAGACAUGCCAACAAUCCUACUGUUCAGGAUUGGAAAGCUCUGAAGCGCAUAGCCCGCUAUUUGAAAGGGACUUUGCACUACAGGCUGAGGUUCACCAGUCAGAAGACUGGAGGUCUUGAAAUCUUUGCAGAUGCAAGUUUUGGAAGUGACACCACGGAUGGUACAAGCACUUCUGGAGUAUGCUACAUGUACAACCACUGCCUGUUUGACUGGUUGUGCAAAAGCAGACGACAGUGAGCCUAAGUUCCUGUGAAGCAGAACUCAAUGCUCUGUCAUUUUCACUCAUGGAUUGUGAAUGGUUGAUGCAACUGUUUAAGGACAUCGGAGUUUCUGUGAAAUGUCCUGUACAAGUGUAUCAAGACAAUAGAUCGUGUUUGGCUUUGCUGAACUCAGAGAGUUGCAAGCAAAGGACCAAGUACUUGCAGAUUAAGCUACAUCGUGCAAGAGAGUGUAUUCAGAAAGGACUCAUUCAGGUGUCCUACAUGCCAGGAAAUGAAAUUCCUGCUGAUCUGUUGUCUAAGGUUGUUAACAGAGAACAACUUAAGGUUUACGUACAAAGGUUGCAAUUGGGUUGAACCACAGGUACUACAGGUUACACGGAAAGGGGGAGGAUGUUAGGAUAUUUCCGUUCCACCUUAAAAGGGAGCAGGCUUUGUGAGUCAGAGUCUGCGUAUUUCCUGUUCACAGGAUGUUUAUGUUUUCUGUUGCUUUCGUUUUCUCUCUGGUGUCGCAGACACUAAAGCAGUCAGUCAUGUUUUUCUGUGUUCUGAUCAACGCUGAAUAAACUUGUAAAUAAUGCUCUCCUGGGUGCAACUUUUGGCUGUGACUAUCUGCUGAUACAGUGUGCAUGAGCUCUGGAAUGUGGCAAGAAAUCUUCUAGAAACUCAUGUCGCUAAUUGUUGAUACUGCGUGACUACGGGAGGUCAAUGGAUCGUCCGGCAGACGGCUUGGGGGCCUUGAUGGAUUUUAUCUCCCUGGCAGUAUCCCAACA